rnacentral:tmRNA from 1 species
GGGGGCGUACCGGUUUCGACCGGAUGGCAGAGGUACAGAUUGCGUGUCGUGGUUGGUCGGCUGGCCACGUUAAAAGUCGACCAAGCUUCAAUUGCCGAAGCUCAGUUUUCUCUGGCUGCUUAGUUAAGCAACCCCGAGCGAUGGCCCCAGUCGGAA